CCGGAGGGGCUACUCGCUUUUCCUUUCUCUUUCGCCCCCACUUGCGCUACUGCUUUCUCUCUCUCUCGCUCUCCUGUGCUUGCUCCCGCUCUGCGCUUACAGGAGCCCACCUGUAUAUUGAUUACAGGGCGGCGUGUACCUGUAUAAAGGGAAGCCGGGUUUUCUCGUUGGAUUAUUUCCUCCCGAGCUUCUGGUGCGAUACAGCGGUAGACGCUGGCUUGUUGGUUAAAUUACUGAGGCGAUCAGGUCAUGUGAUUGCUACAGCGCGGCUGUUUUUCUUUCCUUUGCUCCAGCCGUGGUGAGGAGACGCGUGAAUGCAUCCGCCGUGCAGUACAGUGCCUCCAAGUUCUGGGGUAAGCCGCUUAUUUUAUAGCUGCUAGUUUUGUAAAUUAAAGAAGAUUAAGGUUAGUUUUGCCUUUUCUUAUUUGUAGGGUUUGAUUGCUGCCGUGCCCUCUCGGGGACCAACCGCCUGCUUUGGUUACGUAGAGAGUCGGGCGCCUGCUCUGCUGCUGUCUUGUUUUGUUGAUCUUGUUUGUUUGAUUUUGUUUUGCCCUGUUUUGUUUUGUGUUGUUUUGGUUAUAUUACGGUUAAUCUGUCGGCGGCCCGGUUUUUCCUUGUAGCUUGCCUUGCCACGCCCUCUUGGACUAUCGUUCGCUCCAGCUUUUUGUGGCUGGCCGGGGCGAUUCUCGGCUGUAUAUUGGGCUGGUUAUACAAACUGGUACUGCCUCUCCCCUUUCUCCCAGCUGUGGGAAGUUGUGUGAGACCGAGCAGACCAAGGACAAUCGGACCCAGCACCAGCUGUGGGCUGGUUCGCCGAGCGAAAGUAUUUCUAACCAGUGCUCUGUGGUGUAUAUCUGGGUGUGUUGUAUCACAGACUUUGGUUUUCCUUUAAUUGUUUCUUUUUUUUGUUUUGUAGGUUGAGAGCCUGUUUGUGUCCCAUGUUUUUCACCUUUUAAUGUGUAUGUUCUGUAUUUUUAUUGUAGUGGACGGAGGAUCUACCAGCGGCUGUGGGACCGUAGGUGUGGACGGAGGAUCUACCAGCGGCUGUGGGACCGUAGGUGUGGACGGAGGAUCUACCAGCGGCUGUGGGACCGUAGGUGGUGGGUCGUUUUCCACGCUUCUUUUGUUGUACAGCACCAGGUGAAAAGACUGUAGUAGGUUUCCUUUGUGUGGUUGUGCUGACCCCUGUGAAUUCCCCACAUGCGGGAAUCUCAACUGCAUAAUUUGUGGUAGUGGGGGACUGCGUUCGUGCUCUCCCCUCACUCUUGUGUCCAAAAGCAAAGAUCCAUGUGUCUGCUCUUCUCUCCGUCUGGCCUUUGAACUGGGACAAAAUGCAAUGGCGUGCUCACCGUCACUGGAUUCAGGCAUUAUGCGUGCUAGGCACCAUCAGCCAGAGUGCUGCAUGUGGAAAGGGGACCCCUGUCUCCCACACUGCCAACUCAUACUUA